AUGGGCGCCGGGGCGCGGGCGACGGCGGCGGCGCUGCUGCUGGUGGCGGCGGCGCUCGCGGGGGUGGCCGCCGGCGGCGACAUCGUCCACCAGGACGACGACGCGCCCAAGAUCCCCGGCUGCUCCAACGACUUCAUGCUCGUAAAGGUGCAAACUUGGGUCAAAAACAGAGAGACCGAUGAGUUUGUUGGUGUUGGUGCUCGGUUUGGCCCCAUAAUAGAGUCAAAGGAAAAGCACGCGAACCGGACAGGAUUACUAAUAGCAGACCCUUUUGAUUGUUGUACCCCUCUCAAAGAAAAGGUUGCUGGAGAAGUUUUGCUAGUGCAAAGAGGAGAUUGUAAGUUCACUACAAAAGCUAAGGUUGCUGAAGAUGCUGGUGCUUCUGCUAUUAUAAUCCUGAAUAAUCGGCAUGAGCUAUACAAGAUGGUUUGUGAUCAAAAUGAAACGGAUCUGGAUAUAAAUAUACCUGCAGUUCUUCUGCCAAAAGAUGCAGGCACCAUUUUACAGGGUCUUCUCUCACUUGGUAAAGUGUCAGUGCAGUUAUACUCUCCAGAUCGACCCCUAGUUGAUACGGCUGAGGUGUUUCUAUGGCUUAUGGCUGUUGGUACUAUUCUUGGCGCAUCAUACUGGUCAGCAUGGAGUGCUCGAGAAGCACUUAUUGAACAAGAGAAACUUCUAAAGGAUGGCCAUGAAAGUUCAGUUAACAUUGAGGCCGAAGGUUCUAGUGGUAUGGUAGAUAUCACCAUGACGUCAGCAAUGCUGUUUAUUGUGGUUGCAUCACUCUUUUUGGUAAUGCUUUACAAAUUGAUGUCUCACUGGUUUGUGGAGCUCCUGGUGGUUAUAUUUUGCAUUGGUGGUGUAGAGGGUUUGCAAACAUGUUUGGUGGCUUUAUUGUCAAGAUGGUUUAAACCUGCUGCAAGAUCAUUUGUAAAAGUGCCAUUUUUUGGAGCUGUUUCAUACCUUACAUUGGCAGUUUGUCCAUUUUGCAUCGUCUCUGCUGUUUUAUGGGCUGUUUAUCGCCGGAUGCCCUAUGCAUGGAUUGGGCAAGAUGUUCUUGGUAUCGCACUGAUUGUUACUGUGAUCCAGAUUGUGAGGAUACCAAAUCUUAAGGUGGGGUCUGUUCUUCUCGGCUGUUCCUUCUUGUAUGACAUCUUCUGGGUUUUCAUAUCCAAGAUGUUGUUUCAUGAGAGCGUGAUGAUUGUGGUUGCACGUGGCGAUAAUACUGAUGAAGAUGGUGUACCCAUGCUGUUAAAGAUCCCACGCAUGUUUGAUCCAUGGGGUGGAUACAGCAUCAUAGGCUUUGGUGAUAUCCUCCUUCCAGGACUGCUGGUUGCUUUUGCGCUAAGGUAUGAUUGGGCUGCGAGGAAGACCUUACAAUCUGGUUACUUUCUGUGGUCAAUGGUUGCGUACGGUUCUGGCCUUCUGAUAACCUACGUUGCCUUGAAUCUCAUGGAUGGUCACGGCCAACCAGCUCUUCUUUACAUCGUGCCCUUCACGCUUGGAACUUUCAUAUCACUCGGUAAAAAGCGGGGCGAGCUCAGGAACCUGUGGAUGAAAGGACAACCUCCGAGAGUCUGCACGCACUCGCAUCAUCCUCUGAAGGACUCUGCGGACUCCGCUUCUCAUGUAAUCUCAUCAUAG
rnacentral:rRNA from 1 species